UACGAAGGGGGGCUAGCGUUGUUCGGAAUUACUGGGCGUAAAGCGCACGUAGGCGGAUACUUAAGUCAGGGGUGAAAUCCCGGGGCUCAACCCCGGAACUGCCUUUGAUACUGGGUAUCUCGAGUCCGGAAGAGGUGAGUGGAAUUCCGAGUGUAGAGGUGAAAUUCGUAGAUAUUCGGAGGAACACCAGUGGCGAAGGCGGCUCACUGGUCCGGUACUGACGCUGAGGUGCGAAAGCGUGGGGAGCAAACAGG
rnacentral:rRNA from 1 species